rnacentral:tRNA from 1 species
GCCGAGGUGGCGAAAUGGCAGACGCAGCAGACUCAAAAUCUGCCGGUGGCAACACCAUGAGGGUUCGAUCCCCUCUCUCGGCACCA